GGGCACAGAGGAGGAGCAGGUGCGCGGCGGGAGAGGCUGCUGGGCUCGGCAUGGUGCUGCUGGUGGUGAUGGGAGUGAGCGGCUCGGGGAAAUCCACUGUUGGGUCACAUCUGGCGGCUAAACUGGGAUGGAAAUUCUAUGAUGCUGAUGACUAUCAUCCUACAGAGAACACAAAGAAAAUGGCUCAAGGAAUACCACUAAAUGACCAGGACAGGAUUCCAUGGCUUUGCAAAUUACAUGAUAUAUUAAUGAGAGAAGAGUCAGCUGGACAAAGUGUGAUUCUGGCCUGUUCAGCUCUGAAGAAAAUGUAUAGACGCAUAUUAGUAAGUGGAGGGGAUGCUGUGUAUUCUAAAAGUGAUCAGCUAGACUCUGCCACAGGGAAGGUCCUUUUUAUCCAUUUGGAUGGAUCUAUGGAACUCAUUGCCAGCCGCCUGGAGAAGAGGAGAGGACACUUUAUGGCACCCGAACUUCUACAGUCUCAGUUUGAUACACUGGAGCCUCCAUCAGCACCAGAAAACUUUAUUACUCUCAACUCCCUUGUAUGGUCUGAGGCCUUUUUUCUGCAGCCAUAUUAGGAGAGCAGCAGCCAUUAACCAGGAAGCAGAAACUCACAUCAACCUAUCAAAGCGAUGUAAUAUUGGGCUGGUACGAAGGUGUGCCUCCUAAUAAAAUCCACCAUCACCAAAUAAGCAAGGAAUCUCUUAAGAUGGUUAAAGAAAACUUUAUUUGAUGGCAUUCUGUCUGGCAAGGAAUCACUUAUCAACAGUUUGGGUGUGAAAUCUCUACUUCUUUAUUGUUUUGCCUUUAUGGUCCCUACCUCUCUCUUGUUUAUCUGUAUCGUCUCUGUCUGGUUCUUUGAUUGUUUCUGUCUGUUGCAUAACUAAUUUUAUAAGAUUUAAAUCAACUAAGGUGGUGGGGUAUGAUUGGGUAAAGAAUUGUUUUACAAUAUGUUAGGACUGGUUAGAGAAUUGUUUAUUAAAAUUUUAGCAAAAUGAUUGGUUAAGGUACAGCUAAUCAGGACUCAAGUUUCACUAUAUAAACUGGGGUCCAAAAGGAAGUUCCUUGGAACCAACUGCAGGACACAGCCCCAAGAUCAGAGCUGCCAGACCUCAACACCCAGCCAAUCACACCGGGCAGAAGCUGGAGUCCCAGAUGACCUGAUCCUGACUGGUCACCAGGAAAAGUUCAUCUGCCUUAUUGGGAGUGAAAAUGAAACGAGAUAGAGGGCCUGAAUCACCAGUGCUAAGUCUGGGGCGGGUAGCAGGAGAAAAACCACUUUUCAACUGCAGAACAGGAGCCAGUCUGUUCUUGGGAAAUGUAUGCUCUGGAAGAGAAGGUAAGAUAGAGCUAUUAGGCCCAGUGAUUCGAUUUGGUCAGAGAAGUAGGUGGGUAGGUAGCUUGUAGGUGGUGUAGCAAUUUUGUCACUGUUGUUCACAAUCUGGUUGACACAAGGGUCCCAAUUUCUGCAGUGCACUCCUUGGACCAAUCCAGAUACACUGUAGAGCAUGCACAGCUCACAGGCAGCUCUAUAAUUUUCACAUUACCAGUAAUGCUGGAAUGAAACACCAGCUGCACCUUGCUAUUUGUUCAUGUGCUAUAUAUGAAGAAGCAGCAUACGUGGAAUACUCCUAUGCAAGAUUUUCCACAGAGGACAAUUUCAAGGAAAUAAGAUUCCUACGACAGAAUGCUGAAAUUAAACCCUUUUCUCUAAAUGUCUGGCACAUGGGCUGUAACAACUAAGGGAAGGGCAGUGUUCUUAACCCACAAAGUUAGCAGACAAAG